AUUGAACGCUGGCGGCAGGCCUAACACAUGCAAGUCGAGCGAGCGGCGGACGGGUGAGUAAUGUCUGGGAAACUGCCUGAUGGAGGGGGAUACCUACUGGAAACGGUAGCUAAUACUGCAUACCAUCAGAUGUGCCCAGAUGGGAUUAGCUAGUAGGUGGGGUAACGGCGUACCGAGGCGACGAUCCCUAGCUGGUCUGAGAGGAUGAUCAGCCACACUGGAACUGAGACACGGUCCAGACUCCUACGGGAGGCAGCAGUGGGGAAUAUUGGACAAUGGGAGAAAGCCUGAUGCAGCCAUGCCGCGUGUGUGAAGAAGGCCUUCGGGUUGUAAAGCACUUUCAGCGGGGAGGCGUUACCAGCAGAAGAAGCACCGGCUAACUCCGUGCCAGCCGCCGCGGUAAUAC
rnacentral:rRNA from 1 species